rnacentral:rRNA from 1 species
UACGUAGGGUGCGAGCGUUAAUCGGAAUUACUGGGCGUAAAGCGUGCGCAGGCGGUUUUGUAAGACAGGCGUGAAAUCCCCGGGCUCAACCUGGGAAUUGCGCUUGUGACUGCAAGGCUAGAGUGCGUCAGAGGGGGGUAGAAUUCCACGUGUAGCAGUGAAAUGCGUAGAGAUGUGGAGGAAUACCGAUGGCGAAGGCAGCCCCUGGGACGUGACUGACGCUCAUGCACGAAAGCGUGGGGAGCAAACAGGAUUAGAACCGGUACCGUCCGUAGUCCGUACGUA